GACGAACGCUGGCGGCGUGCCUAAUACAUGCAAGUCGAACGCAGUGGGGACGGGUGAGUAACACGUGGGUAACCUCCCAUCAGAGGGGAUAACACUUGGAAACAGGUGCUAAACCGAUACUGAUGGAUGGACUCGCGGUGCAUUAGGUAGGGGGUGGGGUAACGGCUCACCAAGGCCACGAGGCAUAGCCGACCUGAGAGGGUGGUCGGCCAAACUGGGACUGAGCACCGGCCCCAGAUCCUACGGGGGGCAGGAGUAGGGAAUCGUCGGCAAUGGACGAAAGUCUGACCGAGCAACGCCGCGGUAGUGAAGAAGGUUUUCGGAGCGUAAAAGUCUGUUGUUAGAGAAGCGGUAUCUAACCAGAAAGCCACGGCUAACUACGUGCCAGCAGCCGCGGUAAUUA
rnacentral:rRNA from 1 species